rnacentral:lncRNA from 1 species
GAGUCCUCCGCGACAUCCGGGCCAGCGUCUGCACCCAGCCACGUGUCCUGCCCCUGGUGCGCAGGUGGACUGGAAAAGAGGAAGGCAAACGCAGUGGCUAGGCGGAGACCUCCCAAAUCCCACGUCUCCCCGAGAAUCCCCGACGGGCUACAGACCUAGGGCAGCCAUAAGAAAAAACGUCAGCUACAUCUCGAGGGAGUGGGGUGGAGUGCGGGCGCUUGCUCUAGUCGAGCCCUGACAUCGAUUCUGCGGGGGCGGGGAGGAGUCGGCGCGGGGCUGGGGCUGGGAGGGGAGUUUAUUUAUUAGCCAGAUUAGCCAGCAUUAAUGGGGGAGCGGUGGCGGCCGGCGGCAGCAGGGACAUAGCUGGCAUAGCUGGCAUAGCGGCGGGGCCUCCUGCGGCGCGGGGCUCCGCGGCUUCAAAGGGGCUUAAAGAGGCCCUUGGUGGCACUGCCACGGCCCCGCGGGGGAGGGCGUGGGCGCGGGCGGCGGGGGAGAAGGCGGCCAUUGUGCACCGAGGGAUUAGGGCUCUGGCCUGGAAGGAAUUUUAAACUGCCGCGAGCCGGAGCCCCAGGACUCUCCUCCUGCCCCACCCCUGCCCUCCGGAGCACGCUGAGGUGUUUACCUGCUUUCCUAUGUCUGGGGUGGAGGGGGUGUCCUCUCUCCUCCCUCAAACUGGAGGCACCUAGGGUUACCAGAUCUGGCAAAUAAAAACACAAGACUUCCAGUUAAACUGGAUACUUUAAAUAGUGUAAGUCUGUCCCAAAUAUUGUAUGGGACAGACUUAUGCUAAAAUAUUAUUCGUUGUUUAUCUGAUAUUCAAUUUAAUUGGACGUCUUGUAUUUUUUUUCCUGGCAGCCCUUGAGGCAUUGAAAUCUCUAAUCCAUGUCUGGAAACAGAUUGAUGGUUCCCGAAAGUCCAGUGGGUAUGCCUCAUUUGAGAGAUCCCUAAGGGCAGGGUCGUGUCUCUCCCCUUACACUGGGAGUUUCCUGAAGCCCAGAUACUGAGUUUCACCCUAAAGAAGGCAGCUCUGAGAGCACUAUAUGUGUCCCCCGUCAGACUGGGAGCUUCCUGAGGACAGGGGCUAAAUUUCACCCAUGAGAGUAACGCUUCAAGAAACACUCUGUCUUCCUGCUUUGAGGACAGCUGAAGUCUUGCCACUUCUUCUGGAUGCUCUGACCAUCAGUAAGAGACACGGUCUGACUUUGUUACCCCGGCUGGAGUGCAGUGGUGCAAUCAUGGCUCACUGCAGCCUUAACCUCCUGGGCUCAAGUGAUCCUCUCGCCAAGGCUAGGAUAAGUAGCUAGGACUACAGAUGCGCCCCAUCACGCCCAGCUAAUUUUACAACUUCUGUAGAGAUGGAGUGUUGCUGGGUUGCCCAGGCUGGUCUUGAAUUCCUGGGCUCAAGCGAUCCUCCUGUGUCCGGAAUUGGUGGGUUCUUGGUCUCACUGACUUCAAGAAUGAAGCCGCGGACCCUCGCGGUGAGUGUUACAGUUCUUAAAGACAGCGUGUCCAGAGUUUGUUCCUUCUGAUGUUCAGAUGUGUUCAGAGUUUCUUCCUUCUGGUGGGUUCGUGGUCUCGCUGGCUUAGGGGUGAAGCUGCAGACCUUCGCGGUGAGUGUUACAGUUCUUAGGGCGGCGCGUCUGGAGUUGUCUGUUCCUCCCGGUGGGCUCGUAGUCUCGCUGGCUUCAGGAGUGAAGCUGCAGACCUUCGCGGUGAGUGUUACAGCUCAUAAAGGCAGCGUGGACCUACAGAGUGAGCAGUAGCAAGAUUUAUUGCAAAGAGCAAAAGAACAAAGCUUCCACAGCGUGGAAAGGGAUCCCAGC